rnacentral:sRNA from 1 species
UGACAAUGAUCCAUAUCCUAUGGGAUUGAGAAACUACUUAUUCUAAAUCCAAAUAGCACCGGCUUGUAUAAGCAAUG